ACUGUAACUCAGGGAAUACUAGAGUUCCUCUUAGGAUUCUAGACCUUAUGAAGGCUAACCGGUGUGAACCUGAUGAGUGGUCUUAUACUGAAUUGAACGAUGGUUUUUGCAAGAAAAGCAAAAAUGGAAUCGGAUUCUCGAUUGUCCAGUGAAUUGGUGGAUCAUGGGUUAUGCCCAAAUGUAGUUACCCACACUACGCUGAUAAGAGGAUACUGCAAGGACGAUAAACUGGACUGUGCAGCGCAAAUGUUUUAACACAUGAAGGAACAUGGUUGCAGACUAAAUGUUCAGACUUGCAAUUUUUUUAAUCCAUGCCCAAACUAAGCAAAGUAUUUUUUCUGCUGCGGAGAAACCAUGUGAUCUGAUGCUUGAGGAAAAGAUAUCUCCAAAUGUAGUCACUUACUAUGAUUUAUGGGUUGUGGAUAAAUGGUGCCACGUCUUUGGCCCUUAAUGUUGAACAGGAUGGUUGAACAUAGAUGUUACCUAAUUUGCAUACUUACAGUUCUCUAAUCCAACCUAUGGGUCAAGAAGGCAAGAUAGAGGAAGCUGAGGAAUUGUUUUCAGAUAUAGUGAGGCAAGGGCUUACUCCAGAUGAAGUUACUUAUAUCAAGAUGAUUGAAGUUUAUAUAAUGUGAGGCAAAGAUGAUUCACCCUUGAUGUUUAAGGAAAAAUGAUAAAUGCUGGAUGCCAACCAACCUUGUGGACAUAUGCUGUUUUGGUUAAAGGCUUGCAAGAUGGUGGACCAGAAACUUGUCGCCUUGCCUGAUGCAGUCUCUGGCUUGCAAAAUGAGCACGUGAUGGUGAACCAGGAACUUAGGGCCUUUGCCUGAUGCAGUCUCAGACUGUAGCUUUGAUGGCCAAGUCAUCAACAAAGAAGCCAUUUCAGUCUUAUCUUCUAAGUUAGCAGAAAUGGAUGUUGGGCUAUCUUCAUAGUUGUACGAUUGCAUUGCUAUUGAAUCAAGCAGAAGUGGGAGAUGGUUUGCACUUUGCACAGAUGAGCUGUACAGAAGCAUGGUUGGUCAGGGUUUAUGUCCAAACCACGAGGCAUAUAAUUAUUUUAUUAUUUCACUAUUGAGAGCUCUGAAAGUUGACCUGGCUAUGAGCGUAUUCAGGCAUCUGUCUGCUCAAUGUCAUGAACUCCAUCUUGUUUGGUUAUAGAGCACUAGUAUGUUCUUUAUGCCAAUUUCACGGGAGGAAAGAAGACCAAUUUAUUUUUGAACACAUGCUAUUGAGGACUUCAAAUCCUGACAAUAUUGCAUGGGCUGUUCUCAUGGAUGGACUGCUUUGGGGGGCUGGUACAAAGAUGUGUGCAUGGAAUUUCUCCGCAUCAUGGAAAAAAAUCACAAGCCUACAAGUAUUGAAAGAGUAGCUAUCACUAGAAUCUCUUGUUGGCAUAUUGUUCUGCGAUGACUUGGCUCAUGGAAAACUUAUGGCAUAGAGCGAGAAUAUAAAUCCGGAACAUGUUUAGCCCCACAGCCAACAACAGUGUCCAGGGUGCUUGAAGCUGUUGUGAUCCCAUUGUUCCAUAUCUUGGUACUAGGACUGGUAACGCCGCUCUGCGGGAGGCUUUGGAUCACCAUAAUCUUCCAGAUGUGACCAAUUUACCUGCUGCUGUUUUGGUAUUCCUCAGUGCUACGUAUUUCCAUGGCUUUUGUGUUGCGUUUCCAGUGGGAUCAAGGAAUGCUUAUGUGCAGCAAGGUUCAUACCCAAUUAAUCUGUUUUACACGUCAAAUAUGACCAUUACUGACCUCUAUUUCACAUUUUGGCUUCUCUACAGGAAUUACAGUCAAAUUUUCCUGGUUAAUCUUUUGGGUAGAGGAAUGAAUCAGAGUAAUCUGGUCGUUCUGUUCCUGUUGAUUGUCGUACUUAUCAAGGUUGGCUGACAUUCUCGCAAAUUCCAUUCCAUGCAAUGUUUUUCGUGGUCUCCAUGCUGUGAGCUUGUCCUCUCAAAGACAUUGAAGUUUUGGUUCAUCGGCUAAGGAUGUUUCCAAACAG